UGAGAGAUGGACUGCAUUAGCAAAGGCUUGCACUACCAUUUGCAGAGGGAUGUUAAUUGAUGGGUAUCCAGACAGAAGGAAACAAUCCACCAGGUUUUUGGCUUUUCCAGAACCUUUAACUUAUGACUUCAUUAGUGAGAUCCAUCACCUCAGUUUAUAAGGAUAUGGUUCACCUAAGAAGUUAUGGAGCCACAAGGGUUUAGAGCUAUGAGGCUGUUGAAGCAAACAACAUACAGAGACUGUGCCGGCUCCGGUGGCAUCCGGAGAUGGACCAGCUCCAGCCGGGUUCUGCUUUGUGAGGUUCGGGGUAUUCAAGCAGCGCCAUGGACAACAACCUCCUUAUUGAUUUACAUAACACUCUACACAUGCUGUAUCUGCAUCACACAAUUGUCACCCAAAUGAGGAUGGGUUCCCUUUUGAGUCUGGUUCCUCUCAAGGUUUCUUUCUCUUACCAUCUAAGGGAGUUUUUCCUUGCCACAAUCGCCUCAGUCACCUCAGGCUUGCUUACUUGGGAUAUCAUCUAGGACUGUUUGUCUGUUUAUAUGUUUGUUGUUUUCUUAUGUUGUUUCUCAUGUAAAGCUGCUUUGAGACAAUGCUCUUUGUUAAAAGCGCUAUAUAAAAAUAAAUUGAAUUGAAUUGAA